AAAAAAAAAAAAAAAAAAAGAAGAGUAUGUAUGCAUUAAAAAGAGUAAGUAAAACCUACAGCAUACAGGCUUGGGAAAGUGGCCAUAUAAUAUUACUGAAUACAAGAGUCCCUUAUAGAACAGUGUAUAUAUUCAGUAUGAUCCUAUGAAAAUAUAAGUUUAAAUAUAAGUAACUGCAUAAAAAGAUAUCCAAGGAUAUCUUCCAAACUAUUAACUGUCUUCUCUCAAGGGAGUAGAAGCAAUGACAGGAGGCAUUUCCACUUCUGUAUUUCUAUCAAUACGCUACUGAUUUUCUGUUUUUGUGUUUUUAGGAGCACAUACUAAUUUUGAAAAAUUUAAAGAGCAUUUCCAUUUAAGGGAAAAAUGUGAAAUGAUUUUUUGUUUGAUAAGAGAAUAGAGGUUCACCCGAUGGGUCUGGGACUGAUGAGUAGGAAUAAGAAGAGCACUCACUGGAGGAAAACACUCUUCUGGGGCAUCACAAAAGGUCCUAUGUGUACUGCUGCCUUCAAUGAAUACUCUAAAAUAAAAUGCCACCCUGAAUUUUCAUGUCUUUCUUCUGGGGAAUACUAAAUCGGUAAUUAACUUUAUAUAGCAUUUAUAAGCAUAAUAUGGCAAACAAACAUUAAUACUUCCUUGUAAUAGAUGGAGACACUGAGGAUAUUAAUUUUUAAAAAGUAACAUUCACUGAAGAAACACUGAAGUCUACAGGAUGCCGGGGUAGCAGUUUCCAAAUCAUGUUCCUAGCAAGGGAUGCAGAAAAAGCAAAGCCCAGGGUCAGCCUCCAAGUAUCUUCUCACCUGCACUUUGGUCAGAAAAGCUCCCAUCUCAUACCCUUUAUUUACUGGGGUUCACACCUCAGGUUUCAUCUACAAGAAAAGCAAAUCCAUUCUUAAAAAGGUUUUAAAUUGUUCUACUAAGCAGUAAGAAAUAAGGAUAGAUGCAGAAAGAGUUUACAGUUUACUGACAACAGCCUCUUUAACAGGUAAUUAUACUGCAUGGGAACAGGUGGCAACAGAGAGGAUCAAGCAAAGCACUGUGGGACCAACUGACCAGAGAAACAUGGAGGAGAACACCUACCCCUUAUAAGCAAAGAGGGAGCAAAGAUCAAUGACAUAAUUCACGUCUGCAGACAACUAUGAGCUCACAGGAAACUGAGGUAAGAAAGGUCAUUUCAGAAUCAUUUAAUGACAAGAAUGGCUGAGAUGAGUAUCUGCUGGGGUCUGGGCCCGCCUUCCCCUCUGAUUCCCAGCACACUGUGGCAAAAACAGGCAGUCAGCUUCCAGAGCCCUUUCCCAUUCACACUGCUCCUGGGCCCAUGGGUCACACUGCUCUAGUGCCCUUCCCUCAACUCCAGCCCUCUCCCUUUCCAAAAACC